CUUCACUAUUUCAAUCCCCACAUGAGGUUCUGAAGCUGUAGAAAAUCGUCAAGUGAUAAGCAGAAUGAAUAUGAAAAUGCGUCGUAGUACUGAAGGGGUUGAGAUAAAAAGAGAAAAGGAAAGAAAAGAUGGCAUGAAUGUGUAUAGUCAACCAGGGAUCCUUAACCAGUGCUCGUAUCCUCAUUGGUUCAUUUAUUUAUUCUAUUCAGUUCUUUUUUCAUCUCUGGCGUGUUUUAUAGAGCCGUUAAGAUAGUGAGCUAACUUUAUUGAUCGUCCUGUGAAAGUUAGUUAUCUUCAUUCUCUCAUUCUUUUCGAGUAUGCGAGAAAAACAAAAGAUAAACUGGUCUUUUAGAAACCCCAUAAAGGGAAAAAACAACAAACGAACAGACUUUUCCAUCCCGUGAAUGUUAACCAGUGCCUUCACUCUUUCUCUUAUUCUUCUCGUGUGUGCUUGAAAAAUGAAAUAAAAGAAACUGAUCUUUUAGAAACCCUAUAAAGAAAAACAACAAGUAACGAUCAAACCUUUUCCAUCCCGUGAAAAUUAACCAGUACCUUCACUUUUUUCACCUCUUCCACUGUGUUGCGUGAAGGAAAGAGGAGAUAGAAGAGAUGAUUAAAAAAAAAAGAUCUAGAAAUGGAAAAGGAAAGGAAGGAAUGGAAGAAAAAAUAAAGAAAGUAAUUUAGUUCAUUUUUCUCUUCUACUUUCUUUCAUAUCUUCACCGAACUUUUCAUCUUCCACUUUUCUACCUUUUCCUUCAUCCCCAUUGUCUAUCCUCCUCAAAUAAAAAAAAAUAAAUAAAUAAAGUAAAUAAUUUAGUGAUGUUUAAACAGCUGAUCAGUGUUUUCAAGCCGUGAGGGACACCAGCUGGCCAGACAACACGCCGAGUAGAGAAGUGAGAGGCAGUGUUCGUAUGUCGCCUUUGGUAACCCUUCAGGCUUGGACAGCAGUGGCGGGGCGGGGCUGGCGAUCAAGGCAAGGGAGGCGGUUCCAAUACCUUAUCGUGCCCUAUGAUAUCCCCUUAUAAGACACAGCGAGGAGAGCAUUGCCCGCUAACACCUGGACUCCCUGCAGUACGAACGGUGGUGGAGAAAGUGGGAUUUUGUGAGGAGACAAGUAAAAAUGGAAGGUAAAAAGUUGCUUCCUUCAUACCUCGGAAUUAAAUGGUUUGUAGAAGUAAUAGUAGAUGGAGUAUUAGGAGUUUAGACUUGAGAGAGAGAGAGAGAGAGAGAGAGAGAGAGAGAGAGAGAGAGACAUGGGUAGAAAAAAAUAAAUGUAUAAAGAAAAAAAAUAAGUUUCUUUUGUAUUACAGAAUGAAUUAGAUGUGAAAAUGUAAAUAUGAAAUAGUUACAAAAAAAAAGUAUAUAAAAAAAAAGCAGCUUGACUUGAAAUGUAUAUACAAGAAAUAAGAUCUUUCUCCAUUCCUUCUUAAAUUGACCAACGGAAGGAAGCAACGAGUGGCUUGAAAUCGAUAUAAAAAAGAUAAUAAUAAUAAUAAUAAAAGAAAUAAUAAUACACUCCUUAAAAUGACCAAGAAAAGGAAGUAACACGCCCUUUUAAAGAUAAUUUGAGUAGUAAAUAAUCCUUAAAGCUCUUGUGUCUGGGAGAAAAGGAACCAUAUUGAUA